UGAAUUAGAAUUUUAUAAAGUCAUUGUGUAUUACUGUCUGUAUGGAAGGGAGUCAAUGAUAUAAGAAAUGGGUGUAUUAUGUUGAGAGAAGUAUUACAUGCUGCAAUUUCUUAUAAGAAGUUCCAGGAACUUCGCCUCUGGGAUGGCAGAGAUAUUGGUGUUUCUUAGAUCACAGCUUCAAAACUAAGAUAUAUACCGACGGGUAUCUAUAGAGAGAGAGAUAAUAACAGUAAAAAUAUUUGCUAAUGGAAAGAGUCCGGUUCGAGCAAUAAAUAAAUAAAGAGAGUACUUAAUAAGAAGCACAAGAGGCGCAGUAUUUUUGUGGCGGGUUAUUAUCAAGUGGCAUGCCCAACUGACUCAUUGCAUCAUAUCAGCGGUACAUGAUAUAUUUGGCAAAUUUAACACACAGAAAGCCGAUCCCAACCUGGACUCCGCCCCACCGCGACGCCCACAGCCAGUAAGGAGGGAGGUACCUGCAGUUUCAGAGGCACCUCCUCACAAUGAAGCAGCCCAGCCUAUGCCACUCCAUCCGAAGCUGUCAGAACUGAGCCACCAACCCCCACCGAACUAUGUUCCAGCCGUCCAUCUUCACCAGUGGCGUUACAUCCGAGAUCCCAAGUGAAGGGAUCAACAACAUUGCUGCCUGAGGGCUUCAGACCAACAAAAUUGGACAGAGAAGGGACAGUGCAUGCCGUGGUAAAUGCCCCAAUGCUAGAAGUGGCCAGAGAAGGAUGCCCUAUGCUAGUUCACAGACCCUGGACAUUGGAAGACAUCUGCAAAGUAGGAGGACGAAAAUGCCUAAGGUGACGUGAUUUCUAUAGGUCCCACAUAAGCCCGUGAAGUUCUUUAGUAGACUAUUGCUUCAGAUUGUAUGACAAUUAGUAGUUAAAAGCCCCUAUGCCAAGAUAUUGGCCACCUCUGUAAACCGUUCUGUAUCGCCUUUUGUCAUUGCCAAUAGUGCUACCCACACGUCACCCGUCCCCUCGUCACGCAGACACAUAAUGGUUAUUCUAUCAUUGAACGCAUGCGGUUUGUGAUACGCAACCCUCCGCAGACUAGCGAGAUGGGGCUUGAUUGGUUGAACUCUGUUUUUGGGGGCUGGAGGUCAUGGAUACUGACCAUUUGUGUUCCUAUAGUCACUGUCAUUCUACUUGUCUUAAUCAUGGCUCCAUGUGUAAUUUCCUGCAUGCGGGGGUGUUUUCUCCGCUCAUUAAGAGCAAUGACUGAUGACCAAACACUGAUGCUAAUUAAAACGUCCACAAAAAGUGACUAAGACCCUUACGAAGACCAACCUGAGCUGUAUCUUAAACCUGACUUGGAACUAGAUUCUGCCAUUGACACUGACGAUGAUGACCCAUUGACAUACAUUUCACGUCUAUUGUAAAUAUGCAUUUGACCAGGACGAUUCUCAUUUCACCCUAAAAUAAGCUUGCUUGACAACAGGAUACUUUAUAUCUGCAAAAACAGCUGUAGCGCCUUCAUGUCUGUUUCAUGAUGAAUUCAGAUGUACCGUGAAAAGAUUCUGAAGUUCUGAUGUAUUCACAGCCUAGUAAUUUCUCUGUUAAUUUUAGUUAUAAUAUUUUGUAAUGAUAAAAUGGGGGAAAUGUGAGGGAAAUUACUCAUUUUUUCUUUGUAAUAGUUUUGUUCUUUUUCUGUUUAUCUGAGGAUAACACCUAAGAAUGCCAUGUCAGUGUCACUGAGAUCAGUACAGAAUGUUUAUCUGCCUACAGAGACACAAACAUGUUCUUCUGUUCAAUGUUCAUCUGCACAUCUUCCAAGACCAUAAAACAAAGCCUGUUUGAACUGCCUCAAACCGCUUCUUAUCGGUACACAGAAGUGUGUCAUGCGCUGCUUUUCAUAUAUAUAGUAGUGGUUCAGCACAAGCACUUCAGAGGGUUCUCAUUAUUCUAUCUUGCUUUAUUCUAUCCUGUAUUAACCAUCUUUCUGUAAUAAACCUUUUUACCUUCAGAGGACGAGUCUGCGAGUGCUGUCUAAUUUCCACGACACAUGUUUAUAAUUUGAUCACAUUUAGCUAGAACCUUUAUAGAACAUGCUGAAUAUAUAACUGUGUGUGUGUGUGUGGGGGGGGGUGUUUGAGUGUAUGUUCUUGCUCUCUCUUAGUUAAGACCCAGGGUUUGGAAGCUGAUGAGGACGCUGUGGGACGCACGUGUGACUCAGUUGGAGCUGCAGGAUAUCCUGAGCAGUGUGUGUGUGACUGACUGAAGAGCAGCCCAUCAGGAGAGAGGCAACAUAAGCCUUUCUCACUCUGUUCUGCCAGUUCUCCAGCCAGCAGGGUGACGGGGAGCAAGGCGGGGGACAUCCUGGAUGGGCUGCAUUCACACAGUAUGGACAAUUUGGAAAUGCCAAUCAGACUACAACGCAUAUCUUUGGACUGAGGGAGGAAUCCCCAAAACAUAGGGAGAACAUAGAGGUAGAGAUGAUGCCAACAGAGUGGUGCAGCACUUUGCUACCUUGUCUUCCCACAUGAUGGCAGUAUGAUGCAAGCACAACUUCACCCAAUGCCUCGUUCUUUGUUCUCUUGCCAAUAUAAGGACUGUGCUACUUUCUCUAUAAUUUCUUAGAAUGGAGAAGAAAUGUAUCCUCAGGUCAAAAUAAAUAGCCUUUC